CUUGACAUACCGAUGACAGGUCUAGAGAUAGUAUUUCCCUUUUAGGGCGAUCGGAUACAGGUGGUGCAUGGUUGUCGUCAGCUCGUGUCGUGAGAUGUUGGGUUAAGUCCCGCAACGAGCGCAACCCCUAUUGUUAGUUGCCAUCAUUAAGUUGGGCACUCUAGCGAGACUGCCAGUAAUAAACUGGAGGAAGGUGGGGAUGACGUCAAAUCAUCAUGCCCCUUAUGACCUGGGCUACACACGUGCUACAAUGGGAAGUACAACGAGUUGCGAGGCGGUGACGCCAAGCUAAUCUCUUAAAGCUUCUCUCAGUUCGGAUUGUAGGCUGCAACUCGCCUACAUGAAGUCGGAAUCGCUAGUAAUCGCGGAUCAGCACGCCGCGGUGAAUACGUUCCCGGGCCUUGUACACACCGCCCGUCACACCACGAGAGUUUGUAACACCCGAAGUCGGUGAGGUAACCGUAAGGAGCCAACCGCCUAAGGUGGGAUAGAUGAUUGGGGUGAAGUCGUAACAAGGUAGGCGUAGAUGA
rnacentral:rRNA from 1 species